rnacentral:rRNA from 1 species
ACGGGGGGUGCAAGCGUUGUUCGGAAUCAUUGGGCGUAAAGCGCGUGUAGGCGGCUUGACAAGUCAGAUGUGAAAGCCCUGGGCUUAACCCAGGAAGUGCAUUUGAAACUGUCUCGCUAGAGUAAGGGAGAGGAAAGUGGAAUUCCUGGUGUAGAGGUGAAAUUCGUAGAUAUCAGGAGGAACACCGGUGGCGAAGGCGACUUUCUGGCCCUAUACUGACGCUUAGACGCUAAAUCGUGGGUAGCAAACAG